rnacentral:rRNA from 1 species
AGAGUUUGAUCCUGGCUCAGGAUGAACGCUGGCGGUCUGCUUAACACAUGCAAGUCGAACGGAAGUAGCAAUACUUUAGUGGCGGACGGGUGAGUAACGCGUGAGAAUCUACCUUCAGGACGGAGACAACAGUUGGAAACGACUGCUAACCCCCGAUGUACCGCAAGGGCAAAUAUUUAUAGCCUGAGGAAGAGCUCGCGUCCGAUUAGCUAGUUGGGGGGGUAAAAGCCCACCAAGGCGACGAUCGGUAGCUGGUCUGAGAGGACGAUCAGCCACACUGGGACUGAGACACGGCCCAGACUCCUACGGGAGGCAGCAGUGGGGAAUUUUCCGCAAUGGGCGCAAGCCUGACGGAGCAAGACCGCGUGGGGGAGGAAGGCUCUUGGGUUGUAAACCCCUUUUCUCUGGGAAGAACAAAAUGACGGUAUCAGAGGAAUCAGCA